AAGCAUGCCAUGUCCUCAGGGCACAAAAGAAAUAAGAAGAGUUGAGAAAACGUCCCUGAUUAUCGGCCUUGAGAAACUGAAGCAUCGUGCGAGGUGGUGAAGAGGGGAAUUCGCGGUCUGUGGCAGAGUUAGAACUGCAGCGCUGAAGUCAAAACAUGAACACCACAUCAAAGUAUCCGCGCAAGCAACCAAAACUUAGGAAAGACAAAACAAAAACGGAAAACAAAGAACAAGAAAAACAAAAACAAAAACAAACCACGGUGGGUUGCCUCCCACCAAGCGCUAGUUUUAAAGUCGCCAGCCCGACGUAGAGGAUCCCUUAACCAAAAUCGCUAUGAAACGUCAGCUGAAUUAGUCCUCGUGAAAGCACAUCAUCCUCC
rnacentral:lncRNA from 1 species